rnacentral:tRNA from 1 species
CCCUCGAUAGCUCAGUUGGCAGAGCGGAGGACUGUAGAUGUAACUCAACGGUGAUCCUUAGGUCGCUGGUUCAAAUCCGGCUCAAGGGA